AGCCAAAAUGGUGGAGAUGCUGAUGAUAUAUAGAGGCUGAGGAAAGGUUUCAGUUGAGGUUUUGAAUGGUGAACUUUGUUGGCAAAAGCAAUAGCAUGACAACACUCUUGAAAGCAUGACGAGGUCGAGUGUAUGAGAAAAAGUCUAGCAGCAACCUUUCCGUACAGUGCAGUAGCUAGUAUAAUGUACAUAAGAUUGGAAUCUGUAAUAGAUAAUGAACUUGAACAUGUACUGUCAGUAGCCUAGUAUGCAAUUUGUAUUUGAUUGUGAGUCUAUACACGAAGGAUGAACGGAUUGAUAAUUGAGGUGAUGAAUAGAGGUUGAUUUC